rnacentral:rRNA from 1 species
UAUGUGAUCGUCUCUCGCAUAUCAAUAAGCGGAGGAAAAGAAACUAACAAGGAUUCCCCUAGUAACGGCGAGUGAAGCGGGAAGAGCUCAAAUUUGAAAUCUUAAAGGGUUUCCCUUUACGAAUUGUAGUUUAAAGAAGUGUUUUCUGCUGAGGUUUUGGUAAAAGUUCUUUGGAAUAGGACAUCAUAGAGGGUGAGAAUCCCGUAUUUGACCUUUACUUUCAACUUUGUGAUACACUUUCAAAGAGUCGGAUUGUUUGGGAAUGCAGUCCAAAAUGGGUGGUAAAUUUCAUCUAAAGCUAAAUAUUGGCGAGAGACCGAUAGCGAACAAGUACCGUGAGGGAAAGAUGAAAAGAACUUUGAAAAGAGAGUUAAACAGUACGUGAAAUUGUCAAAAGGGAGGCGUUUGACACCAGUGUUGUUUUUCUGAAAAUCAAUUAAAGAACUGUUUAUGCUAAGUUGUUUAGACUUUAUCAGCUAACUGUUUAGUUUUGAGCUUUUCUUUAAUGCACUUUUCAGUUAACAAGUCAACAUCAAUUUCUUUUGCUGUAAAAAAGCUUGAGGAAGGUGGCUUGAGAUUCGUCUUAAGUGUUUAUAGCCUCUUGCCUAUGCAGUCGGAGAGAUUGAGGUCUGCAGCGUAGAUCCUUCGGGGCUAAAUGCAUUUGUGCUAAGUUAUAGCAUUUUAUAGACAACUUGUUGACUAUGAUUUGUCUUGUAGCUUACUCGCUUAUGUUAUUUUACCUACGCUUAGGAUGUUGAAGUCAUCGUAUCGCGC